CAAGUAGACGAGGCAAUCGCCCCCCACCAGUACUGGUGAGGGGGAGGAAAGUCCGAACUUCCCCCCGUUCUUUCCGAGAAAGGGCGGGAUAAAAAAGUAGCGGGUAACACCCGUCGGCCGUGAGGCUAGAGGUGCGAACAGUGACGCCGAGAUCCGAAAGGGUCGAGGCACCCUGUCAUUCGACAGGGCGAACUUUGAGAGAAAUCUCGAAGGUGAAACGGCUAAAUCCUUACUGGAAGCAAGAACAAACCCCGCCCCUUCGAUAAUUUAGGAAAUACCUACAAGAUUUGUUUCUAAGCUGCAAAAGAACAGUUUGUAUGAAAUCUUGAAUUUUAAAGAAGGGGCGGGGGAAAAGUAGUUCGAUUGACCCCGAGAGUAAUCAAGGGGCUAGAUAGAUGAUUGCCUAAAACAGAAUUCGGCUUAUUGCCUACUUGAGCU
rnacentral:RNase_P_RNA from 2 species